UUUCUCUUACGAUAACUGGUAUUCAUUCGCAUGUUCAGUUUUAUCCGGUUAAGUGAAUGCUUAUAGGUACUGGGUUAAAAACGGGCUCAACCUAUUCUCAAACUUUAAAUGAAUGAGCCACCUGGCUCGCGAGCGCCAAGUGGGCUAUUUAGGUAAGCAGAGCCGGCGCUGUGGGCGGGUAACUU
rnacentral:ncRNA from 1 species